CGGUAGCUCAGGUGGUAGAGCAACUGACUUUUAAUCAGUGGGUCGAGAGUUCGAGUCUCUUCCG
rnacentral:tRNA from 1 species